rnacentral:rRNA from 1 species
UAGGGAAUCUUCGGCAAUGGGGGCAACCCUGACCGAGCAACGCCGCGUGAGUGAAGAAGGUUUUCGGAUCGUAAAGCUCUGUUGUAAGAGAAGAACGUGUGUGAGAGUGGAAAGUUCACACAGUGACGGUAACUUACCAGAAAGGGACGGCUAACUACGUGCAAGCAGCCGCGGUAAUACGUAGGUCCCGAGCGUUGUCCGGAUUUAUUGGGGGUAAAGCGAGCGCAGGCGGUUUAAUAAGUCUGAAGUUAAAGGAAGUGGCUUAACCAUUGUUCGUUUUGGAAACUGUUAAACUUGAGUGCAGAAGGGGAGAGUGGAAUUCCAUGUGUAGCGGUAAAAUGCGUAGAUAUAUGGAGGAACACCGGUGGCGAAAGCGGCUCUCUGGUCUGUAACUGACGCUGAGGCUCGAAAGCGUGGGGAGCAAACAGG